UGUAAUAAUCCAUGCCAUCAAAAUAACACCCGAUUCGUCGUUCGAGCAAACGAAGAAUGGCUACAUUGGAACAUUGACCGAUAUAGCUUAGGUACCAUAUCGAACAAAUUCGAAGUCUAGGAAAGACAUUUCGCGAUGAGCCAAAAUUCAAGGACCGUUCAUCAAUUUCGAACACAAAAAACUCGGGAACGACAGCGACAUGUGAUAUUCAGAGCGGCUCUUGGAGCUUCACCACAAACACAGCUCUCGGACCGGAAAUCUUCAUUGGAAUCAUCUUCUUUGUUAGCCUGUGUUGAUGUUUAUGUGCUGUGGCUAUCUGAUGCGGAAAUGAUCUCUAUCUUGUGAGUGUUGCCAAGAGAAAUGGUCCCGGAAGUCCGACCGCUCCUUUUCAGCUCUAAUUCACCGGAAAAUCGGCCAUCGAGCUCACGUGGUAACAAGAAAUGUUCAGAAGAAAUGCUUCGUCGAAAUUUCGUGCCCCGUGGAAUAAUUCAUUCGAGAUCGAGUCGAGUCCAGAAGACAUGUUCAGAUUUUGCUCGUCGUUGUCGCAAAACUGGAGCGUGUUAUCACGCAGCGGACGAUAAAGGUUGCCGAGAUGUAUGAUUUGAGCGCAUGGGAAUCGAUAUCGGCUGUUCCUGCAGCUGAACUCUUGGUUCUAAGAAUGUAACGAGUGUUAGAACUAGUAUGCUGAAUUCUUGUCUGAAGUUCCAAUACAGUUUCGACUCUUGCAUUAUAGGAGGGGCUAGUCAUGUUGUCUCGAGACUUGUAAUCGGCUAAGAACGGCGCGAAUAUCUCUCCAACCGUCACGUUACGUAUCAUAAGAUCGCCAGUCGAGCCCUGAAAUCGCUUUUGAUCGAUGAAACUUGUGUUGCUCUUCAGGGUGUUUGUC